rnacentral:rRNA from 1 species
GUGUCAGCAGCCGCGGUAAGACGAACCUUUCUAACGUUAUUCUGAAUUACUGGGCGUAAAGCGUGCGCAGGCGGUUUUGUAAGCCAGAUGUGAAAUCCCCGGGCUUAACCUGGGAAUGGCAUUUGGGACUGCAAGGCUGGAGUGCGGCAGAGGAGACUGGAAUUCCUGGUGUAGCAGUGAAAUGCGUAGAUAUCAGGAGGAAUACCGAUGGCGAAGGCAGGUCUCUGGGCUGACACUGACGCUCAUGCACGAAAGCGUGGGGAGCAAACAGGAUUAGAAACCCUAGUAGUCC